rnacentral:rRNA from 1 species
UACAGAGGGUGCAAGCGUUGUUCGGAAUUAUUGGGCGUAAAGGGCGCGUAGGCGGCUUGGCAAGUGGAUGGUGAAAUCCCUCGGCUUAACCGAGGAACUGCCGUCCAAACUGCUUCGCUUGAGACCGGGAGAGGUGAGUGGAAUUCCCAGUGUAGCGGUGAAAUGCGUAGAUAUUGGGAGGAACACCAGUGGCGAAGGCGGCUCACUGGACCGGUACUGACGCUGAUGCGCGAAAGCGUGGGGAGCAAACGGG